UCCUACGGGGCGCAGCAGUGGGGAAUAUUGCACAAUGGGGGAAACCCUGAUGCAGCGACGCCGCGUGAGUGAAGAAGUAAUUCGUUACGUAAAGCUCUAUCAGCAGGGAAGAAAUACUGACCUUACGGUCAGCAGACGGUACCUGAGUAAGAAGCCCCGGCUAACUACGUGCCAGCAGCCGCGGUAAUACGUAGGGGGCAAGCGUUAUCCGGAAUUACUGGGUGUAAAGGGAGCGUAGACGGCUGUGCAAGUCUGGAGUGAAAGGCGGGGGCCCAACCCCCGGACUGCUCUGGAAACUGUAUGGG
rnacentral:rRNA from 1 species